rnacentral:misc_RNA from 1 species
UAUCUACCAAUAUAUAGUUAUUUUAUGAACCUUGCAAAUUUUUCAAAAAAAUUUGUGUAGCACUAGGCCAUUAUAGGCCUAUUUCCAUUACUCACGGCUGUAGCUGUGACCACGAUUUAAAUCCUUGGCAAGGACCUCUUUCUUCUUUUCUCUUUUUGCUUAUCCUUGUAACAGAAGCUCUUAGGUUAAUGGGGUUUAGGAGGGAGGGCUCAACUGACUUGCGGAAUUCAGCAGGUUUCUCACCUACUUUUUUUAAGUCUAACAAUUCUAUCAUCCUCUGCAUACUGAUGUUGAGAAUUCCAGUUUUUAACAAUGUGUCAAUUUCAAGAUAUGAGGGGAUCUAUAUAACAAUAUUAUCCUCUUUUAAGGUUGAGGAAGGAUUUUCGGUUUGUUUUGGAAUGAUUAUUGAUGCAGAAAUCACCUCUUCAACCAAUUCCAGAUGCUACUAAUGAAGCCAUCAGAAUGGGAUCUUUGGUCAGCAAUUGCUUUUUAUUAUGAUAACCUGGUGAUGUGGACCUAGUUUACAGUAGGAACCCAAGACAACAAGAUGAAGAUGGUCGUGGAUUACCAAAGUGCCUUAAGAAAAAAAAGAGUGACCCAGUGCACGACGGAAAGGAGGAUAAAAUAAGAUUUUAGUGUUGACAAAGAAGGACUAUGGUGUAAAAUCUUUUUACAACAAUCUAUUAGAGAGGUGAAGUGCAAGAAAGGAUUUCUAUUCCAUGUAGUCCUAUUUAGAGAAUGAAAGUGCCUUCAAAAUAUCCCUAUUCACUUGGGAAAACCAUAUGGGAAAAAUUUUUCUCAAUUGACAAAUUGAUGAAGGAACACAUUUAGUAAACAUACGCAUGUAUCAUAAAAAGCAAGGGGAGUCAGAAAAACUCUUGCUUCUUCAUUGACAUUGAUUGGGCAACUUUACUCCUUGGGACGUUGGCAGUAUCCCCCAUUUGAUGUUCUUAUCAACAUAGCUCUUAGUUUCAUAAACAGUCCCACAAUGUUAAAAAAAAAAAAAGCAUAUAAAAAAAAAUCUGAAGAACAAAUAAAAUUUACCGAAUGAGUGAUAUUCUCAAGAGAGUCCACAAUGCAGUGAGCAUAAUCAUAACUUGGAUAUACACACCACUUGUCUCCUGAAUGUGGAUGAGGAGUGAACUUGAUUCUAUAAGCAAUGAGGUCGUACAUAUUAAAAUUAUCGCUCUGCAUGUCUUGCUUCAUUCUAAGUGUUGCCUUGCCUUCUUCAAUCAUGCCUCGUCUCAUUUCAUCAAAAAGUUUCAAAGACUCUGCAAUAGGUCUAUCCCUCCAAGGACUGUUCAUCUUCUUUUCUCUAUACUCCUUAAUCUCCUCAGGUGUCUGAUGAUCAACAUAUGCAUGACCCCUCCGUAUCAGCUCAACAGCUAAGUCAUACAGGUCUUGGAAAUAAUCACUGGUAUAAGUGAUCUUGAAGGGUUUCCACCCCAUCCACUGGACAAUCUCUUCAAUGUGAUCAAUAUACUCCUUCUUUUCAGCCUCAGGGUUUGUAUCAUCAUACCU